CCCUCAUCAAUGGAACGCAGAAAACAUGAUUCAUCAUCACAACAGGAGAAAACAAUUAUCCAACCUCCUACCUCUUAUCUAGUGGAGUUAGAAAUAUUAAUGAAUACGUAUACAGAUUAUGAAUAUAUUGUAACGACCCUGGGUUUAUAAACGCGGACAUCGACUCUGCCGCACGAGCAUGCUUUUGCGGCACAGUCGAUAGCGCGCCGGACCUCGGGCUCGAUGGUCGGGGGUGACCUGCUCCCUGCUGUUUCAUUACAAAAUAUUUAAGAAAAAAAGUAGCAACAGCUAAAUAACGUGAGCUGGCGUGGCAGAAAAUUGCUGACCGAGUCAAUGUGUGCAACCCAACAUGCAGAAAACGUACUUGGCAUCAACUGAAGAUGAAAUAUAAAAAAUAUACUUCAAACGGCCAAUAGAAAAAAGGCUGAGGGCUGAAGAAAAGGUGGGGGUCCACCACCACUCCGGAAGCUAAAGGGAUGGCCCUCAGUCAAAACAGUGGGAGACCUAUUGCUAAAGGCAGCUCUGGAGGAACCUCAUCUGACUCAACCACCACAAGGGUGGACCUACAUAAGAGAUUCUUAGUUGUCCUUCAGACAUCAUCUAUUUUAAGCUACUGAUGGUGUAAUCUGUCUGGUCGUGCCUUCUGCCAUAACAGACCUCCAUGCAGUUGAGAAUGAUGAAGACACCUUGUUAGCUGCCACAGAGAGGGAAGCUACAGAGAGGCCUAUUGAGGUUUAAAAAAAAUAACAGCUAACAGUUGAUAGUGUUGUACCAAAAUAAAACGUGCACCUUUUUCUCUAACAGAGCAAUGCUGGAAAUUACAAUGAGGAAGAGGGUCCAUCCACCUCCACAGUACAACUUACCUCAGUAAGAUGUUAUUCAGCAUUGGCCCAUGAUUUACAAUGAAACUAAGUAGACCUGGCACUGUGAAAUGCAAUGUCAUUUUUUUGUGUUCCUAUAGUUCCCUGUGAAACAGCUGUACUUAGAGAAACAAAUAAAAAAAUGUAAUUUAGAAAUUGACCAAGGCUGCAGAUGCAAGAACAUAGAAAUACAACAGCUGGAACAUCAGUUAAAGGUGGGUGAGGUUCCCACAGGUGGAUGAUUUCACUUGGUUGAACAACAUAAAUAUUAACUACUGUACUGCAUUUGCACUGGCAGGAAAUAAAGACUC